rnacentral:lncRNA from 1 species
CGUCUUUCUCCUAGAUGAUCUUUUCAAGGAUGUUUAUAUAGCAAAUUGCCUUGGCAGUUAGAGAAAGUGUCUCUUUCUGGUGCAAAGGGCACAUUUGCUUACAAUCUAGAAAGAUGCAGGAUAUCCUUUCCAGAGCGAUGAACAGAUAUGCUUACUGCCCAGUAUAAGAGGUCUGGUUCCCUAAAAAUGCAAUUUCUUUCCUGCAGUCAACUGUGUGUCCACAUAUCAGUUGACCCUCUUUGUAUCAUCCUGUGGAAAUUGAGGUUUGGAGAACUAGUGUAAAAAGAACCAUUCUCUGGCUACUGCUAUUGCUUUGAGUAAUAAACUUUGCUUUGUUUUUGACUCAAGGGUUUCAUGUCUCUUGUCAGCAUCCAUGAAACUGUGGCCAAUGAACAGACUGACUUGCUAACAGUAAAGAUCUCAAACUCUUCAUAGUUCUUGACAACAUUCGGUGUGAUGUCACGAUAUUACAGCUUUAUUGAUGUAUUGAAGAAGGGAAUGGCAACCAACUCCAGCUGUGUUAGUUUCAGAUACAUUGAAGGUGAUUCAUUUAUAUAUGUGUGUGUAUAUACAUAUAUAUAUAUAUAUAUGUAUCCAUUCUUUUUUGGUUCUUUUCCCUGAUAGAUUAUUACAAAAAUUUGAAUACUAUAUAUUUAUCUGAGAAACCAAGGUUUUUAAAAAGAACAGGGCAUUUUCAAUAUGCUUUCCCUAAAAAUGCAUUACCACUGAACGUCUCUUUUCUGAAAGCAAAAAUUUUUUGUACAUCAUAGGACAAAGAAAACCAUUUCAAGGAUAUAUAUUUCUUUCCAUUUGAUUCUGUUGAAAUAUCUAUUUGUGCAUGUGCUAAGUCACUUCAGUUAUGUCUGACCCUUUGCGACCCUAUGGACUGUAGCCUGCCAGGCUCUUCUGUCCAUGAGGUUCUCUAGGGAAGAACACAGGAGUGGGUUGUCAUGCCCUCUUCCAGGGGAUCUUCCCACCCCAGGGAUCAAACUGUCCUGUAGCUCCUGCAUUGCAGGCAGGUUCUUUACUGCUAAUUCUCCUGAGAAGCCCAUUUGUGUGUGUGU